rnacentral:rRNA from 1 species
GGAUGCGAUCAUACCAGCACUAAAGCACCGGAUCCCAUCAGAACUUUGAAGUUAAGCGUGCUUGGGCGAGAGUAGUACUAGGAUGGGUGACCUCUUGGGAAGUCCUCGUGUUGCAUUCC